GCCCAGCUAACUCAGUCGGUAGUGCAUGAGACUCUCAGUCUCAGGGUUGUAGGUUCAAGUCCCACGUUGGGCA
rnacentral:tRNA from 1 species